rnacentral:tRNA from 1 species
GGGGUCGUGGGCCAGUCUGGUCUACGCUGCGUGGCUUGGGCCCACGCGGACGUGGGUUCAAAUCCCACCGACCCCA